rnacentral:rRNA from 1 species
AUUGAACGCUGGCGGCAGGCCUAACACAUGCAAGUCGAGCGAGCGGCGGACGGGUGAGUAAUAUCUGGGAAACUGCCUGCUGGAGGGGGAGAUCUCCUGGAAACGGUAGCUAAUAUCGCGUACCAUAAGAUGUGCGCAGAUGGGAUUAGCUCGUAGGUGGGGUAAUGGCUCACCUAGGCGACGAUCCCUAGCUGGUCUGAGAGGAUGACCAGCCACACUGGAACUGAGACACGGUCCAGACUCCUACGGGAGGCAGCAGUAGGGAAUAUUGCACAAUGGGCGAAAGCCUGAUGCAGCCAUGCCGCGUGUGUGAAGAAGGCCUUCGGGUUGUAAAGCACUUUCAGCGGGGAGGCGUUACCCGCAGAAGAAGCACCGGCUAACUCCGUGCCAGCAGCCGCGGUAAUAC